rnacentral:rRNA from 1 species
AUGUGUAGGAUAGGUGGGAGGCUUUGAAGUGUGGACGCCAGUCUGCAUGGAGCCGACCUUGAAAUACCACCCUUUAAUGUUUGAUGUUCUAACGUUGACCCGUAAUCCGGGUUGCGGACAGUGUCUGGUGGGUAGUUUGACUGGGGCGGUCUCCUCCUAAAGAGUAACGGAGGAGCACGAAGGUUGGCUAAUCCUGGUCGGACAUCAGGAGGUUAGUGCAAUGGCAUAAGCCAGCUUGACUGCGAGCGUGACGGCGCGAGCAGGUGCGAAAGCAGGUCAUAGUGAUCCGGUGGUUCUGAAUGGAAGGGCCAUCGCUCAACGGAUAAAAGGUACUCCGGGGAUAACAGGCUGAUACCGCCCAAGAGUUCAUAUCGACGGCGGUGUUUGGCACCUCGAUGUCGGCUCAUCACAUCCUGGGGCUGAAGUAGGUCCCAAGGGUAUGGCUGUUCGCCAUUUAAAGUGGUACGCGAGCUGGGUUUAGAACGUCGUGAGACAGUUCGGUCCCUAUCUGCCGUGGGCGCUGGAGAACUGAGGGGGGCUGCUCCUAGUACGAGAGGACCGGAGUGGACGCAUCACUGGUGUUCGGGUUGUCAUGCCAAUGGCACUGCCCGGUAGCUAAAUGCGGAAGAGAUAAGUGCUGAAAGCAUCUAAGCACGAAACUUGCCCCGAGAUGAGUUCUCCCUGACCCUUUAAGGGUCCUGAAGGAACGUUGAAGACGAC